rnacentral:rRNA from 1 species
GUGAGGAAUAUUGGUCAAUGGGCGUAAGCCUGAACCAGCCAUCCCGCGUGAAGGAAGAAGGCGCUAUGCGUUGUAAACUUCUUUUCCAGAGGAAUAAAAUUUCAUACGUGUAUGGAACUGAAGGUACCCUGGGAAUAAGCAUCGGCUAACUCCGUGCCAGCAGCCGCGGUAAUACGGAGGAUGCGAGCGUUAUCCGGAUUCAUUGGGUUUAAAGGGUGCGUAGGCGGACCAAUAAGUCAGUGGUGAAAACCUGCAGCUUAACUGUAGACGUGCCAUUGAUACUGUUAGUCUUGAGUAUGGUCAAGGUAGGCGGAAUGUGUAAUGUAGCGGUGAAAUGCUUAGAUAUUACACAGAACACCAAUUGCGAAGGCAGCUUGCUGGGCCAUUACUGACGCUGAUGCACGAAAGCGUGGGGAGCGAACAGGAUUAGAAACCCCUGUAGUCC